CAGCCGCCGCGGUAAAACGUAGGUGGCAAGCGUUGUCCGGAAUUAUUGGGCGUAAAGGGCUCGCAGGCGGUUUCUUAAGUCUGAUGUGAAAGCCCCCGGCUCAACCGGGGAGGGUCAUUGGAAACUGGGAAACUUGAGUGCAGGAGGGGAGAGUGGAAUUCCACGUGUAGCGGUGAAAUGCGUAGAGAUGUGGAGGAACACCAGUGGCGAAGGCGACUCUCUGGUCUGUAACUGACGCUGAGGAGCGAAAGCGUGGGGAGCGAACAGGAUUAGAUACCCGUGUAGUCCCUGUCUCUUAUAC
rnacentral:rRNA from 1 species